rnacentral:tRNA from 1 species
GGGCCUGUAGUCUAACUUGGAUAGAACGGCCGGCUACGGACCGGCAAAUGCGGGUUCAAAUCCUGCCAGGCUCA